rnacentral:rRNA from 1 species
UACAGAGGUCUCAAGCGUUGUUCGGAUUCAUUGGGCGUAAAGGGUGCGUAGGUGGCGCUGUAAGUCGGGUGUGAAAUUUCGGAGCUUAACUCCGAAACUGCAUUCGAUACUGCGGUGCUUGAGGACUGGAGAGGAGACUGGAAUUCAUGGUGUAGCAGUGAAAUGCGUAGAUAUCGUAAGGAAGACCAGUGGCGAAGGCGAGUCUCUGGACAGUUACUGACGCUGAGGCACGAAGGCCAGGGGAGCAAACGGG